rnacentral:rRNA from 1 species
UACGAAGGGGACUAGCGUUGUCCGGAUUUAUUGGGCGUAAAGAGCUCGUAGGCGGUUUGUCGCGUCGGCCGUGAAAUCUCCACGCUUAACGUGGAGCGUGCGGUCGAUACGGGCAGACUUGAGUUCGGUAGGGGAGACUGGAAUUCCUGGUGUAGCGGUGAAAUGCGCAGAUAUCAGGAGGAACACCGGUGGCGAAGGCGGGUCUCUGGGCCGAUACUGACGCUGAGGAGCGAAAGCGUGGGGAGCGAACAGG